rnacentral:rRNA from 1 species
UGGGGAAUAUUGCACAAUGGGCGAAAGCCUGAUGCAGCAACGCCGCGUGAGCGAUGAAGGCCUUCGGGUCGUAAAGCUCUGUCCUCAAGGAAGAUAAUGACGGUACUUGAGGAGGAAGCCCCGGCUAACUACGUGCCAGCAGCCGCGGUAAUACGUAGGGGGCUAGCGUUAUCCGGAAUUACUGGGCGUAAAGGGUGCGUAGGCGGUCUUUCAAGCCAGAAGUGAAAGGCUACGGCUCAACCGUAGUAAGCUUUUGGAACUGUAAGACUUGAGUGCAGGAGAGGAGAGUAGAAUUCCUAGUGUAGCGGUGAAAUGCGUAGAUAUUAGGAGGAAUACCAGUAGCGAAGGCGGCUCUCUGGACUGUAACUGACGCUGAGGCACGAAAGCGUGGGGAGCAAACA